rnacentral:rRNA from 1 species
UACGGAGGGAGCUAGCGUUGUUCGGAAUUACUGGGCGUAAAGCGCACGUAGGCGGCUACUCAAGUCGGGGUGAAAGCCCGGGGCUCAACCCCGGAACUGCCCUCGAAACUAGGUAGCUAGAAUCUUGGAGAGGUCAGUGGAAUUCCGAGUGUAGAGGUGAAAUUCGUAGAUAUUCGGAAGAACACCAGUGGCGGAAAGGCGACUGACUGGACAAGUAUUGACGCUGAGGUGACGAAGCGUGGGGAGCAAACAGG